AUACAAAUCACAUGGGGCCUUGUUCAAAACACAGGUUCUGAUUCGAUACUUCUGGAUAGAACCUGAGAUCUUGCAUUUCUAAUAACAUUCCAGGUGAUAUAUCA
rnacentral:pre_miRNA from 1 species